UACGAAGGGGGCUAGCGUUGCUCGGAAUUACUGGGCGUAAGGGCGCGUAGGCGGGUCGUUAAGUUGGGGGUGAAAGCCCAGGGCUCAACCCUGGAAUUGCCUUCAAUACUGGCGACCUUGAGUAUGGCAGAGGUGUGUGGAACUCCGAGUGUAGAGGUGAAAUUCGUAGAUAUUCGGAAGAACACCAGUGGCGAAGGCGACACACUGGGCCAUUACUGACGCUGAGGCGCGAAAGCGUGGGGAGCAAACAGG
rnacentral:rRNA from 1 species